AAAGGGGGAAUGGCUCCAGCUGGCCAGGGCAGCAGAGGAGGGCAGUGGGAGUUGUCUCACAUGAGGCCAAGCCCAGGUUCCACUCAGGCUCAUGGGGAGUGCAGAGGCAGGUGUGCAACCAUCUCCAGGAGAGCAGGAAUCCACCACAGCCAAGGUCUGUCCUGUCACAUCAGUGGCUGGGGAAUCUGCCUGAACAUCGUGGCUGGGAUAAAUUUUAUCAUCACACCAGUCCUCUUCAUCAAAGGAGUUUUGCUUCGCACCUGAAGUAGCCUGGAAGAGGAGGAGGAAGACAGCGAAGAGCAGGUAGAGGAUCUUCAUGGCUGUCAGCUGCUGGUGGAUUGUGAGGUCCUGAAAAGCACCUGAAAGACCAAUGGUGGAUGAAGCUGGCUUGAGCAAGGGCUGGGACAGACAUCCAGUAUUUAUAGGGCCCGUGGGGUUGUGCAAGUGUGACAAGUCAAUGAGUAACUGCCAUGAACUUUCUGGAGAGGGACUGGACCCCUUAUCACAUGUGGCAGUGAACGUGUUGCAAUCCCCCAAGGGUGAAUUUCCACUUCAUGUGUCAGUAAUAUAAUCUGACCAUCAGCCAAACCUGACUGAGCUGCACUGAUUUUCACGGCUUUUGGAAACCUCUUCCCAACACAAGCACCAGGAUGGGUCUGGGGGACUUGGAAGUCAGUGACCAUUGGAGUGGGGACCCAGCUUUGAUCCUGGAUUCAUCUCUCACUGACAGUUCAUGUAACAUUUUGUCUCCAUUUCCCCAUCCCUGUGGCAAGGUGGAUGAUGUCAAAAGCAGAGGAAAGCAUUGGGAAAGACUUGAGGUGAUGCAACUGUUCUCUGUCAGUUUUUAAACGGGUCUCAGGACAGCCUCACCCGCUGCAGGGGACUGACACAAAGCUCUCCCCCUCCUUCAGUCCUCACUUGUAUCGUAGAAUCACAGAAUGGUUUGGGUUGGAAGGGACCCGAAAGAUCAUCUCAUUCCAGCACCCCUGCCAUGGGCAGGGACACUUCUGCUAGAACAGGUUGCUUCAAGCCCCAUUCAGCCUGACAUUUCAUCCCACAUCAUUUCCACUGCUCUACCUUCAGCCUUAAGGUGCAAAUUCUGACUUCUUUGCAUUCAGUUCGUUUGUCCAUAUUAAAAGCCUCAGGAGUUAAGAGUUCUAACACUCACUAAUAUAUCUAUUUUCUUUUAAAGGGAAUAAACUCCUUCAUAUACGUGCACAAGUUUGUGAUGCAAUGCCAAAUAUUUCCCUUCUUAUUGCCCUAAAGGUUGGGAGAACAAACUGAUUCCACCAGAAUCACAUCUGACAUAAUGCUUUGAAGGGCAACAUCUGGGACUUCACUUCAGAGCAUGAUCCCCGUGGCUGUAAAUUUUAUUAAAAGGAGAUCAAUGCAGGGAAGGUUCUUCUUCCCAAAAUCCUGGACUAAUAAACAACUUAAACACUGUCACA